rnacentral:rRNA from 1 species
UAACAGAGAAUAGCUUGCUAUUUUGCUGACGAGUGGCGGACGGGUGAGUAAUGCUUGGGAAUUUACCUUGUUGUGGGGGACAACAGUUGGAAACGACUGCUAAUACCGCAUAAUGUCUUUUGACCAAAGGUGGCCUCUAUUUAUAUGCUAUCGCGACAAGAUGAGCCCAAGUGGGAUUAGCUAGUUGGUAAGGUAAAGGCUUACCAAGGCGACGAUCCCUAGCUGGUCUUAGAGGAUGACCAGCCACACUGGAACUGAGACACGGUCCAGACUCCUACGGGAGGCAGCAGUGGGGAAUAUUGCACAAUGGGGGAAACCCUGAUGCAGCCAUGCCGCGUGUGUGAAGAAGGCUUUCGGGUUGUAAAGCACUUUCAGCGAGGAGGAAAGGGUGUAGGUUAAUACCCUGCAUCUGUGACGUUACUCGCAGAAGAAGCACCGGCUAACUCCGUGCCAGCAGCCGCGGUAAUACGGAGGGUGCGAGCGUUAAUCGGAAUUACUGGGCGUAAAGCGCGCGUAGGUGGUUAAUUAAGUCAGAUGUGAAAGCCCAGGGCUCAACCUUGGAACUGCAUUUGAAACUGGUUAACUAGAGUUUUGUAGAGGGUGGUAG